rnacentral:hammerhead_ribozyme from 1 species
UGCCGAAACGGGCCGGAUGGCCCGUCCACCGAGGGUGGCCGCUCGGUGCUGAUGAGGUGGCCGCGA